rnacentral:rRNA from 1 species
CGUAGGGUGCGAGCGUUAAUCGGAAUUACUGGGCGUAAGCGUGCGCAGGCGGUUUUGUAAGACAGAUGUGAAAUCCCCGGGCUCAACCUGGGGCCUGCAUUUGUGACUGCAAGGCUAGAGUACGGUAGAGGGGGAUGGAAUUCCGCGUGUAGCAGUGAAAUGCGUAGAUAUGCGGAGGAACACCGAUGGCGAAGGCAAUCCCCUGGACCUGUACUGACGCUCAUGCACGAAAGCGUGGGGAGCAAACAGGAUUAGAUACCCUGGUAGUCCACGCCCUAAACGAUGUCAACUGGUUGUUGGGUCUUUACUGACUCAGUAACGAAGCUAACGCGUGAAGUUGACCGCCUGGGGAGUACGGCCGCAAGGUUG